rnacentral:rRNA from 1 species
AGCGAACGCUGGCGGCAGGCUUAACACAUGCAAGUCGAACGGGCGUAGCAAUACGUCAGUGGCAGACGGGUGAGUAACACGUGGGAACGUACCCUUUGGUUCGGAACAACACAGGGAAACUUGUGCUAAUACCGGAUAAGCCCUUACGGGGAAAGAUUUAUCGCCGAAGGAUCGGCCCGCGUCUGAUUAGCUUGUUGGUGAGGUAAUGGCUCACCAAGGCGACGAUCAGUAGCUGGUCUGAGAGGAUGAUCAGCCACACUGGGACUGAGACACGGCCCAGACUCCUACGGGAGGCAGCAGUGGGGAAUAUUGGACAAUGGGCGCAAGCCUGAUCCAGCCAUGCCGCGUGAGUGAUGAAGGCCCUAGGGUUGUAAAGCUCUUUUGGCGGGAAGAUAAUGACGGUACCCGCAGAAUAAGCCCGGCUAACUUCGUG